UGUACAUAAACCAAAACAUUUAUUUAGAAAAUACAAAAAAUUACUGUUUCUUCAGACUAUCCUUUCAAUUUUCAAUAGUGCCACAUAAUUUUAUAACUAAUUUUUAUUACAUCUGAACACCUCAAAGAGCUGUAGUUUUGAAAUAAAUUUUGCUAUGAUUAAAGAGAGAAAAUCUAUUCAGAAAGUACAGAAUACACGAAUUUACGGUACUUAUCCAAUUACCACCAGCAUAUAAAUUAUUUUGUAAAGUUAUUUCUUACACACAGGAUGUAAAAUGCAAAAAAAAAAAAAAAAUGGAAUUUGUAUUCAAAACAAACAGAAGCAACACUGGCUCCUAUAUGCUAAAAAUAUAAAACAGAUUUUUUUUUUUAAGCAUUCUAGAUACAAAUAUUAACUGUAUGGGCUGAGAACUUUUAAUUUCAAUAUAAUUCAACAAGGUACACAAGUAGAGCUCUAUAAAUAUAUCCCCUAUAAUAACCAUAUGCAAAAUCAUUUUAUCACAAAUACUACCAAACCCUCUGAAAAACAUAAACUACAAACACAUUUUUAAAGAAAUUCUGUUUUAACAACUACAAAAGAAUAUCAAUAAAGCUAUUUGGCUUUAAAAAACGAAGGGCAGUGUAAUGUAAAUCC
rnacentral:lncRNA from 1 species